rnacentral:rRNA from 1 species
GAACCUGCGGAAGGAUCAUUACCGAGUUGAUUCGAGCUCCGGCUCGACUCUCCCACCCAAUGUGUACCUACCUCUGUUGCUUUGGCGGGCCGCGGUCCUCCGCACCGGCGCCCUUCGGGGGGCUGGCCAGCGCCCGCCAGAGGACCAUAAAACUCCAGUCAGUGAACUUCGCAGUCUGAAAAACAAGUUAAUAAACUAAAACUUUCAACAACGGAUCUCUUGGUUCUGGCAUCGAUGAAGAACGCAGCGAAAUGCGAUAAGUAAUGUGAAUUGCAGAAUUCAGUGAAUCAUCGAAUCUUUGAACGCACAUUGCGCCCCUUGGUAUUCCGAGGGGCAUGCCUGUUCGAGCGUCAUUUCAACCCUCAAGCUCUGCUUGGUAUUGGGCUCCGUCCUCCACGGACGCGCCUUAAAGACCUCGGCGGUGGCGUCUUGCCUCAAGCGUAGUAGAAAACACCUCGCUUUGGAGCGCACGGCGUCGCCCGCCGGACGAACCUUUGAAUUAUUUCUCAAGGUUGACCUCGGAUCAGGUAGGGAUACCCGCUGAACUUAAGCAUAUCAAUAA